rnacentral:rRNA from 1 species
GUGAAAGACGGUGGCUCAACCAUCGUUAGCCAUUGAAACUGGUAGUCUUGAGUGCAGACAGGGAUGCUGGAACUCGUGGUGUAGCGGUGAAAUGCUUAGAUAUCACGAUGAACUCCGAUCGCGAAGGCAGGUGUCCGGGCUGCAACUGACGCUGAGGCUCGAAAGUGUGGGUAUCAAACAGGAUUAGAUACCCUGGUAGUCCACACAGUAAACGAUGUAUACUCGCGGUUUGCGAUAUAGUGUAAGCCGCCAAGCGAAAGCAUUAAGUAUACCACCUGGGGAGUACGCCGGCAACGGUGAAACUCAAAGGAAUUGACGGGGGCCCGCACAAGCGGAGGAACAUGUGGUUUAAUUCGAUGAUACGCGAGGAACCUUACCCGGGCUUGAACUAAGAGUGACAGAUUUAGAGAUAGAUCUUUCUUCGGACACUCUUGGAGGUGCUGCAUGGUUGUCGUCAGCUCGUGUCGUGA